rnacentral:rRNA from 1 species
UUUUUACAAUGGAGAGUUUGAUCCUGGCUCAGGAUGAACGCUAGCGGCAGGCCUAACACAUGCAAGUCGAGGGGUAACAGGGAGAAGCUUGCUUUUCCGCUGACGACCGGCGCACGGGUGAGUAACGCGUAUGCAACCUACCUCUUACUGGGGUAUAGCCCAGAGAAAUUUGGAUUAAUCCCCCAUAGUACCAUUAAACCGCAUGGUUUGAUGGUUAAAGAUUACGGUAAGAGAUGGGCAUGCGUCCCAUUAGUUAGUUGGCGAGGUAACGGCUCACCAAGACUCCGAUGGGUAGGGGUUCUGAGAGGAAGAUCCCCCACACUGGUACUGAGACACGGACCAGACUCCUACGGGAGGCAGCAGUGAGGAAUAUUGCGCAAUGGACGAAAGUCUGACGCAGCCAUGCCGCGUGCAGGAUGACGGCGCUACGCGUUGUAAACUGCUUUUAUUUA